UACGAAGGUCCCAAGCGUUAUCCGGAUUUAUUGGGUUUAAAGGGUGCGUAGGCGGAUUAUUAAGUCAGUGGUGAAAGCUCCAUGCCUAACAUGGAAAUUGCCAUUGAUACUGAUGAUCUUGAGUACAUUUGAAGUGGGCGGAAUGUGUCAUGUAGCGGUGAAAUGCUUAGAUAUGACACAGAACACCGAUUGCGAAGGCAGCUCGCUAAACUGUAACUGACGCUGAGGCACGAAAGCCAGGGGAGCAAACGGG
rnacentral:rRNA from 1 species